UCCCCGUUGCCGGGGCAGUCGCGUCUGAAAAAUUCAACAGACGCCGAGGGUUGCGCUCGUUAAAGGACUUAACCUAACAUUUCACAACACGAGCUGACGACAGCCAUGCAGCACCUGUCACCGGUCCAGCCGAACUGACUCUUUUGUUUCCAAAAGAUACGACCGGGAUGUCAAGCCUUGGUAAGGUUCUUCGUGUACCAUCGAAUUAAGCCACAUGUUCCACCGCUUGUGCGGGACCCCGUCUAUUCCUUUGAGUUUUAAGCUUGCGCUCGUACUCCCCAGGCGGGACGCUUAACGCGUUAGCUUCGCUUCUUAAGGGGUCGAUACCUCAAAAAGCUAGCGUCCAUCGUUUAGGGCGUGGACUAC
rnacentral:misc_RNA from 1 species